GGGGACUCCUGGAGUCCAUGCAGUAUGCAGAGGGCGGGGGCUUGGAGGAAAGUCGUUGAUGAUGAGCACUGCCUGUUGGGGCUAAGGGAGGUAAGAUGAAGUAAACACAUGGCAGCCUCUCUCUCCCACUGACGAUACAACCUUGAUAGAGGGCAUGGUGGAGCUAAUUGAAUGAUCCGAACAGUAAAUACCAGCAAGUAGAUGGGUGAAAACAGCCAGGAUUCCAAGUACCACAAAACUGGUGUUGAGUUGUGCACACUUUUUCCUCUGGAAUCUCUUGAGCAGAACUCAGCAUGACCUGAAACCCAGGAGUGAGCCGCACAGUGCCGACAAUGAGAUGCAGAAGAAAACCUCUGGUUCUGGCUGAAGCAGUGGACAAGGAGACUCUUGAAACUCAGAGCCUGGGGGCACCCCUGAUAGUGUUCUUUACUUUCUCUCCCUUCUCACAUUCCAGCCACCAGAGAAUGCAAGAGAGGAGUAGCAGUGGCAGUAAAUGUGGCAUCAACAACAACAACAAAAAGCAGGGACUAGGACUCUGAGGAAGGGAAGCCUAUAUUCUGGCCUCAGGGUGCUCUUUCUUCCUGCCUAGGGGUCAUAUACCACCUGUGGGCACCUCAGGACUCCUGACAACCUCACUUUUACCUGUUGCCUUUUUAGCCCAGGAUCAGUAGGUAUGGGGGUGCACAUGCUCUUGAGGACACAGCAGCUGUCACAUCAGGGAACCCGACUCCAGAACCCUCUGUAAAUAUCCCAUGGCUUGGCCCUGCCCAUCACCCCACCCAGGCCUCCUCAAAUGAGGAGCUAAAGCUGGCCCAUGGGGCCAAAGUGCAGAGGGUAGGGAUAAUGAGCCACUGGCCUUCUAGAACCUGGCAUGGUCCCUGAGUCAGCCAUGACACAGGCAGGGGAGGAGGGUGGGGCUGGGAUAAAGCUGGAUCUCAAGGGAGUUAGAUUUGUUCAGCCUAGGGGAGGGGAGCAGAGGAGAUGCUCUAAGAUGUGGCUUUACCAAAUGUUUCAAGGACACGGAUGGACCAAGCAAUGGCACCUGUGAUGAAAGAUUGAAGCCCAGGAGGUGGGGCUCCUGCUAAUCUCACUUGACUAUUGUAAGGCUCCACAAAAAGCAAGGUUCUUAGCAAUGUAGAUGGGGCUUUAUGGGUAGGAAAGGGAGAAACUGGUAUUUCUUUACGCAACUUCUGCUAAGCACCUCAUAUGUGCUAUGAUAACUAAUCCUCACUAAGCCCAUGACACAAAGAUUCAUGUUUUAGAUGAACAAGCUAAGAUAUAAAAAAGUUAAACAAGAGACAUCCAAGGUCACAGUCCUAGUAAGGGACAGGGCUGAGUAAGCCUUCAGUAAAUAUAUUCUCCUACCCCAGUAUAAAACCCAGAAAAGUCUUUAAUGUCCCAAGUCACGGAUCCUAACACAUGGGCCAUGAACUUUAGAACACAGAGCCCAGCAGCAAUGUGAGGGAGACGUAGAAAUCAAAACAACUCACAUUUAGUAACUUGCUGAAUGCUAGACAGUCUUCCCCAUGUUGUGAGAAAUGAAAGAACAUAGCCCCAUGACUUUGAGGUCUUUACAAGCCUCCCUGAAGAACUAGCUUCUCGAGCUGACAGACAGGCAUGUUUUCACAAAUUUACCAGGUACCUGUGACUCUGAGGAACACACCGCCUGGGCAAGGAUGGAUUGGCCAGAAAAUCACUCAGUCCAAGGUAGUUCUUACAGCCAGAAGAAUUCACGGGUGCUCUUAGUGGUUCUCAGACCUGCUUGUCUCAUUUAUUGAAGCUCAACUAAUGCCUUGAAGGGGAAGAAAUUAGCUUUCCAUCCAGUUAGGAAUGACUGUUGUGGCCUGGCGCAGUGGCUCACGCCUGUAAUCCCAGCACUUUGGGAGGAUGAGGCGGGAGGAUCACGAGGUCAGGAGUUCAAGACCAGCCUGGCCAAUAUGGUGAAACCCCAUCUCACUAAAAAUACAAAAAUUAGCUGGGCGUGGUGGCACGCGCCUGUCAUCCCAGCUACUCAGGAGUCUGAGGGAGAAGAAUCGCCUGAACCCGGAGGCGGAGGUUGCAGUUAGCAGAGAUUGCGCCACUGCACUCCAGCCUGGGCAACAAAGCGAGACACCUUCAAAAAAAAAAAAAAGAAUGACUGUUUUUUCUGAGGACCAAGGAGGCCUGAGGGAGCAAACUCCUUUGGAGUUUCGGGGAUGUGGUUGUGUGAGCUUGUGGGGGAGGGCAAACAGUGUGGGCUAUAGGGUGGUGGCCUGGGAAGAACAAGAAGGUCCUUCAGCAGCCUAGAUAGGGGGAAGCUGCUUGUCUCUUCGUGAGUGAGGAAGGUGGGGUUUUAUUCUAUGACCUUAAUUUGUAAAAUUCCUUAAUUUGUAAAAUGGCAUUGGAGAAAUAUCUAGCUCAGGGGAUGGUAUACUGAUAAACUGUGAAGUGCUAAAGUAAUUAAAUGCAUAACACAGACUUGGAGAAGU
rnacentral:lncRNA from 1 species